CUUUAUUGGAGAGUUUGAUCCUGGCUCAGGAUGAACGCUGGCGGCGUGCCUAAUACAUGCAAGUCGAGCGAAUGGAUUGAGAGCUUGCUCUCAAGAAGUUAGCGGCGGACGGGUGAGUAACACGUGGGUAACCUGCCCAUAAGACUGGGAUAACUCCGGGAAACCGGGGCUAAUACCGGAUAACAUUUUGAACUGCAUGGUUCGAAAUUGAAAGGCGGCUUCGGCUGUCACUUAUGGAUGGACCCGCGUCGCAUUAGCUAGUUGGU
rnacentral:rRNA from 1 species